CAGAACUCUGGUUACAGUAGUCGUUAUUGAGAGCUGGGACCCGGAGAUCGCGGCUGCUCUGCUCGUGGACAGGAAAGUAUAGGCUGUAAACAUAACCACUCUGGAAUCCACGUGGAAACUAGGCAAGAUGCCCCUCUUUGGGAACACCUUCAGCCCGAAGAAAACGCCGCCCAGAAAAUCGGCAUCACUUUCUAACUUGCAUGCGCUGGACCGGACAACAAAAGAGGUAGAGCUGGGUUUGGAAUAUGGUGCCCCUAGUAUCAGUAUUGCAGGACAAAGUCUUAAAUUUGAAAAUGGCCACUGGAUAGCAGAAUCGGGUGGCACUGGAUCUCAGAAGGAUCUCCAACGUCUUCGAAAGAGAAAUCAGCAGUUGGAGGAGGAGAAUAACUUGCUUCGUCUGAAAGUAGAAAUCCUGCUGGACAUGCUCUCUGAAGCAACAGCAGAAUCCCACCUAAAGGAUAAGGAGCUUGAGGAAAUGAAGAGCUUGAGUGGGCGAAGAAAAUGAACGAAAUCUAUAAAAAGGAAACCCGGAUGAGCCAGGAACAGCUCAUGAAUUAAUACCUGCGUCAUACAGAAGACUGAUAAUGCUCCUCUCCUAAUCAAAGCUCAUUGAGGCUUUUAUCUUCUUAUGAACAUUUUUUCCCAAUUCACUUCCGCAGUGACAGGCAGCAGGGGUGUAGUAGCCGCCCCCGCAUCAUUCCAUAGUGGACUAGAUCAGUUAUUUAUUUGUUACACUUGUAAGACUCACCUUUCAUAAGGAGCCUUUUAUCAGAUAUAUGUUGGAGGACUUGCAAUAUAUACCUUCAGUGGAAGGGCUACAACAUAUUCUGCUGUACAGCCAGCAGUGGGAUAUAUCGCCCAUGUACAGUUAUCACUGAAGCUUCCCCCGGCAGCUGGAGUCCUCCGACAGCUCUCUGAAUUCGGAUGCUCUGACCAUAGACUUGGAGGGAGAUGGGGAAGCUGGUAGCAUCCACAGUGAAGUAACACUUGGUGAAAUUGCAGGUGAAAGAACAAACCACGUCCUAUUGGAUUUCUGGUUUCACACACCGGGUAUUUGGUGAAAAAUUCCAGUCUGAAGUUUCCCAACAAUAUACAGUAUUGGAGUUUGGCGUAUUUAUGUUUUAA